rnacentral:rRNA from 1 species
UACGAAGGGGGCUAGCGUUGUUCGGAUUUACUGGGCGUAAAGCGCGUGUAGGCGGGUCGUUAAGGUGGGGGUGAAAUCCCGGAGCUCAACUCCGGAACUGACUCCAAAACUGGCGACCUGGAGCAGAGGAGAGGCGAGUGGAAUUCCGAGUGUAGAGGUGAAAUUCGAAGAUAUUUGGAGGAACACCAGUGGCGAAGGCGACUCGCUGGACUCUUGCUGACGCUGAGACGCGAAAGCGUGGGGAGCAAACAGG